CCCAGCAGGCUGUGGGAGGCGUCUGGAAGAGCUGCCCUCUCUCCUCCAGGCAGCGUUGCAGAGCCACGUGCCCACAUGGGAGCAUCGGCUGGAGUCUGCUGGAGCCAGGGCAGGGAGGACACCCAGGCAAAGCCGAAACAAACUGGAGAGCGAGGUGAAAGCAGCCAGUGGCGAAAGGGGCCUGGCAGCUCUCCAGCUGAAAAGCAAGGAGGGCUGGAGCAAAGUGCUACGGAGCGCUCUCGGCCUUCCGCUGGAGCAGGAGCGGUGAGCUCUGGUAACGCAUGGGAAUGGUCCCUGUGGGCUGCUGCAGGUCUGCUCUGCGUGUGCAUAAUUCAUUUUUCCUGUGGGUGCAGAGGAUAAGCUGCUUCUGUGGCACUUGGCCCCUCUGGAAAAUCUGGCCUAUGUUGCCCUGGGGCUGAGAUUGCUGUAAUGGAAUUGGCUCUCAAUAAUUAGAGCUGUUCUCCGGCUUCAGAGCCUGCUCUGCCCUGAUAACAUCUUCCCCUCCGUAUCUCCCAGGCCAGCUGGAGUGGGAAAAUUUCCUUCCCCUGGGAAGGAAGCUGUGUCGGGGCAGGGGGGGCCUUGGUGCCCCGGGCUGCCCACUGAGGUUGGAGGACUACGGUGGCGCAGAUGGGGACGCUGGUGAAAGCCGGAAGAGUAGCAAUGGCUGUUGUGCUUCUGUCCUGGCACCGGGCAAAGAUCAGGCCAAAUGCCCAAGGGUGGGAUUUGAUGGGAUUUGCUGAACCAGCUCAGGCCCGGGACCAGGUCUGACUCCAGAGUGGUGGCACUUCAGGCUGGGGCUGUCUGCUGCAGUGGGUCCAGGGUGGGAGAGGCUUGAGGAAAGGUGCACAGCGCUGCGUGGGUGCCCACCGGGGCUGCAGCGCUGCUCGGCCCCUUCCCUGGCGCUGCUUCUGACGCGUUUCUUCUGAUGCGGGCCAGCCUGCCGCAAAGAGGGGAUGGAGGCACUGGCGUGCGGCUCAGUCCCAUGUCCCACUGUGCUGGGAGAGCCAGUCAGGACUGGCGCAGCCGUGCUGCAGCUCAGAUGGGUUACAGAGCCUGUGGGCAGUGCGAGGACCCGACAAUGCUCCCAUUAUCUGCUUGCGACACCUCGCCAGCAUGAACCAGGGGAUGGCUGGUUCCCAGCACAGGGUUGCAAGGGACCAGGCGGGUCUGCAGAGGAGCAUGGCUCCAGUGGUGAUCUUUGAAUUCCAGCUGCUGGCUGGGACUCCGCAGGGCUGCCUGGGGGGUCUCAGCCCUGUCCACUGCCAAACCAGGCGCCCCACGCAGGGCCUGAUGCUCCUGACGCAGCCGUCGCCACUGGCUGCUCGGGCUGAUCCGGAGUGCAGAGCCCACGGCACAACCAGAGCUGCUGCAGCACGGCAGGGGCUGGCCUGACCUCAGUGCCCUUGGGGGGCUGCCUGUCCCCUCCGCUGCACAGGGGCUGCUGGUCAGGAGCUGGCUGAAACGCUACCUAGAGCUGCAGCCUGACCCCACGGUCUUGCAGCUGCUCUGAGCGCCUCGCUGGUGCUGAGCAAGCAGGUUUCUGAUGUGAAAGGCCAACACAGCUCCGGGCCAGGGGCUGCUGCGAUGCGACAGUUGCUAAACCCAUCUCUGCUCUGGAAGUGCAGCUGAAAACCCCGCCGGGAGCGUGCUGGCUGUGGGGAAGGCUGCAACUUUUCAAGCGCUUUCACCUCGAGGUCACUGGUUCAACCUCAGCCCGGGGGUAGGGAGCGCAGUAAGUGGAUGUUAUUCCUGAUGGAUGUGCAAGGGAGGAGGAUUUAGGGGAAAUUGGUCUGGGUGUUUUCAGGCUGGCGAUUUCAGAGGAACAGACAUCCCUGUUGUCAGAGCUAAUUAGCAGCCUCGGUUUGGCGGGCAAGGGGUCGAACAAACCACGAGGCUGCUGGCUGAGCAUCCUUGGCCACCAGCAGGCUGGGGCCGGGAAGCCACUCCUGCCUGGGCUGUGGCUAUCUCCUUGCUCUCUGCAGGAGACUAACCCACUGUAAAGUACAAAGACAGAGCUUCUAGGCUCUCCAAAUUCCCUGCACCGCCCAGCAGAUGUGGAGCUGAACCUCAUGCUCCGCUCCUGCAUCCACCAGUGACCCAUUCCUGAAGCAUGCUGGCUUCACACCCAAAGCAUUUCUCUGGGUGGUGGGAGGCACCCUGAUAUCCCAUCCUAUGGACAAGCACUGCUGCAGUUCCCCCUGCUUCCAGCCUGGCUCUCUUUGCAACCACCAUCUCUGGAUCGCCAAAGGGAGUAAUUUCGUAGGACACCUUACCAGAUUUGGGCUUAAAUCUAAUUGCAUACCAAAAUCUGCAAAUCUAAACCAUACCAGCAGCAAAAAAAAGGGUUAAAAACCCCUCCCUCAUGACUCUCCCAGUAGCUGCAGACUUGAGGAAACAGCUUCUCUCCUUCCAAAUGGGCUGCUCUGCCUUGUAACCUCUCAUUACUGGAGCUGAGAGACCUUCUCCUGCCCUGGCAGAAGAGGCUCGACGCUUGUGAGGAGGAGCGUGAUGUGGGGCUUCCAAAGCUCUGCUGAUCGGGGAUGGUUUAAGACUGGUUCCUGGCAGAGAAACCCCUUCUCUUUGCGCGCAAGAGGUCAUGAUACAGGAGUGGGAGAGGGACACAGGUGACGGGCUGAGAACCAGCUCUCCUGGCACCGGGAUCCUUGGAAAAGCUCGGCAAAGCCCUGGCUCAUUAAGGGGGGAUAGAGAGCAAUCUCCUGACAGCGACUGUCCCACAGUCCGAAGAGCUUUCAGCGAUGGCGGAAGGAGAUCGGGCUGAGUCCGGAGGGUGGGGGCAGGACCCCGUCCGUCAGCGCCCCAUGCCCUGCCCGCAGAGCAGCACAGCAUUUAGCCUAGGUUUGACAUCGAUUCCUGCUUGCUGCUGCCAGGGGCUUGGCAAAACUUUGCUGCCUCACAUCUCUUCCCCUUCCACCUGCCUGUCACUGGAGGGGUCGUAAAACGGCAUCUUUCCCCUUUGAGGGGGUGAGCAGGUGCCAGUUUUUCACUGGGUGAAGGAGGCUUCCACACCUGUUUGACUCUCGAUCCAGCCCCUUCAGCUUUUUCCCACAGGACAGAUCCCUGUGGCAGCAGUGGGAAUUGCCUCCGCCACAUCCCCCUCCCGCUCCCACCCUCCUCAUUUUUCAGCGCAGCUUUGCUUGAAACAAUGGCACAGCCUGCAAGCCAGGAAUGCUUUGCAGUGCACUGGAGCAGGGCCUCCUUCCCAAUUCAUCACUAAUGCAGGAACGCCAAGCCCUUCCUGGCUGCAGUGAGCACGAGAUAAAAGCUAAAAGAGGCAUCAAUAAUUAAAAACCACUCAAAGCCAGUAAGUGCAAACAGGAGCCAACAUACAGAUCGAAGGCAGCGCCAGAGAAGAGACUCUGUCAGCUGCUGGGUUGCUCUAAGGGUUCCCACAUCUCUCUUGCAGGCACCCACCCCCCCAGCCCACAGCCCUGAGGUGCCGAGGUGUCCCCGGCACAGUGGGAGCGCAGCAGUGCAGGGGCUGCAGGCAGGAGCGCGUUGGCUCUGCAGCGUGCCGGGAGCCCAGCCCGGCCAUGGCAGGAGAGACACCCCCAGCUCCUGCAUGUGGUUUGCCUUGCAGAUGCUCUGGGGACACACCGCUUUAAAGAGCGGGUGACAGCACUGGAGUCCCAGGGAUGGGGACCUGUGGUUUAGUCCCAGGAGUGUGGCUGCAGAACCUUGAUUUCUAGUACAGCUUUAGCUCAGCUCUUGCAGACUUGCUGCCAGUCCCUUCCCUCAGUUUCCCUUCUCAUCUCAUGUUCAUUCCAGGACAGAUUCCAGCCAGGAUAAGGCCCCUGAUUGUGCCAGCCGCUGGUAUAAAUGCCCAGGGAAAUUCAUGUUGUCUGAGGGUGCCAGGAACUCAGCUCUGCUGAGUUCAAGGUUCCUCAUUCAAGUAUGCAAGUGAGAAGCUGAAAACAGGAUGGUUUGGAAGCUUCACAGUCAUCUUUGCUCCCUGCUUCCACAGGCCAGGCAAGCUGGUUGAUUGAGUCCUGGUAGGGAAAAAGCUGAAUCGUCUAAAUGUGGUGGCACCGGUUCUGCUCCCCCUGCCCACAACGGCCCCACUGACCCAAAAACCCCACCAGCACCUAGCUGCCAAAAAGCCCACCCAGGGCUGAGCUUGCACAUGUGCUUGACCGGCAAGCCCUGAACCUGCGGGGACCCGAAGGGGCAGGUGCAGGGACGCAGUCUGCAAAGGAUGGGGCACCCCCAGCUGCCGCGAGGAGACCGAGGCAGUGCUACAUCCCAGCCGUGUCCCCACCUGCCUUCCCAUUCCCGGCGGCCUCCUGCCUGGUCAGCAAAUACGCCUGCAAAAUGGGGCACACAGCAGCUUUGCGCCGUGAGAGCAGUUCCUCGGACGAGAUGGUUGUGCAGCGCUCCUCACCGCCCACCUGCCCCAUACCUGUGUUCGGAAGGGACGGAGCAAAGCAGGUGAGAGAAAUGGCCCCUGGGAAGGCCUCAGAGCGGGGGCUGGAGGAGAGACUGCGUGCACAGGCUUCAGCUGCUCCGAGAGCGGAGAGCCCUGGUCACCCAUCGGCGAGAAACGUGAUGGUCUCUGCCCUUGACCUUCUGCUCUGGAGAUGUGCCGGGUAUGGGAGGCUGUGCAAAGGAGGCGCGUGGGGAGAGAAACACUUGACCCACAGCACAGAGCUGGGGCUGCCCUUCCUGGCGAGGGCAGGAGGCUGCGUGUUCCCGUGCCCCAGGGUGGCAUUUGGGGAGCUGAAAGGUGAAAUCAUUGGGGUAAUUCCAGAAGCAGCAACCUAUUUUGCUUGGAUCUGGGUUAUAAUGGCAAACAGAGCUCCUGAGCGUCCUGAAGCCCGGGCUUGUUUGGUUUCUGUGCUGGUUAUAAACAGAACUGCUGUUUACAGCACUCGCCUCUCGAUCCUGGCGUGGAUUUCAAACGCCCUCGUCCUUUGGGGCUCUUCCAAGCACUGCCACUACCAGGCACAAGCCCGUGGCUGCUGCGGGAAGUGGCUGGGCCCCCAGCUGAGCAGCCUGCAGCGGGUGGCGGCAGCCAGGGCUCAGACCGGCUUCACUGGCUUGUCUCAGCUGCGUCCUCUGCCUUACACCUGGAGGGAAGAGUGGGACCAGGUCCCUUUGCUGCUGCAUCCAGGGGCCUGUGGGUGCAAAGGGUUAACUGCAGUUGUUUUCUCCCCAGUCCAGGCACAUGCUGAAGCAAAUUAAUCUCUGGGUUACAGGCUGUCCUGCUCCAGGGCCCACGUCAAUCAUUAAUGGAGGGUGAUGAAGACACGUGUGACAUCCAUCAUUCUGGAGCUGCCUGUUCCAGGUUUACCUGUGUCACUCUCUGAGACAAGAGAGCCGAGAAAGUGCCUAAGGAAAACCGGCAAUUUUUGGUAAGGAGUUUUGAAAAAUGCUGCAACACAUCUUCUCAGUCUCUCCUUCCAGCGAAACACAAUCUGAAAUGUUUCCCGAUUUUGUAAAAACACUUUCCUUAAAUAAAAAUAAAAAAACCUCUCCCCCAA